UCACAAUGGAUUAGGGUAGGGUCUAAAUCCAAGGAGAGUGUCCUCAUAAGACACAGCAACGAACACACAGAGGCACAGGGAAGAUGAUGGACAAACAUGCAGAAGCUGGAGUGACACAGCAACAGGACAAGGAACCCCAAGAUUUGCUGACAGCCACCAGAAGCUGGAAAAGGGCAUGGGACAGUGUCUCUCUCACAUACCCCAAAUCAACCCUGCCAACACCUUGAUUUCAGACUUCAGACCUCCAGAAUUAGGACAGAAUGAAUUUCUGUUGUUUUAAGCCACCCAGCUUGUGGUAAUUUGUUACAGCGGCCGUAGGAAAUAAAACACACAAUCUUGAACCACAAGCCAACAUCAUACUUAACUGUGAAACAUCAAAGCCAUUCCCUUUCAACUGAGCAACAAGACAGUAAUUCUUGAGGAGUACUAGCAACUGAAAGUGGGGACCUGCUGAAGAGAAGGGCCCUCUCCCUCUUGCACAGGACAACCUUGAUUCCAUCUACCCAGCACCUGCAGAGCCUGAGCUGAUGCUCUGCAAACCAGGAAACAAGGAGCCCUACUCCUGAAGUAGCCUAAGUCUCUCACUGGUUUGCUCCUAUAUUGGCUCCUGCAGGAGGCAAACAUAAGCUUGAGCUUCUGAACCCUGCUAUUCACACUUCUUGAAUCAUCCUGCAAGAAGUGCUUCAUUUCUCUAAGCUACAUGGCAAAGAUGAUAAUAUUUUUGCUACAGGAAAGAUCAAGAUGAAAGGAGCAUGGAUCAAAAAGACACUUGGCUCAAUAUCUGGCACACAUUCUUUGAAGUUGGAGCUCCUGAUGCUACUACCCGUCCUUCCUGCCCUUGGAGCAGAGAUUAACCAAUACUGGGGGACUUGGCGCUCAAUCACCAAAGUGACAUCUAUUGCUUCUGGCCGCUCCACAUUAAUCUCUUCACUUUUGGUAACUAAACACGUCUUUCCUGCAAGUAACCCAUUAUAUAGGGUCAAAGUGGAUGGAAUUGAGUCACGACCCUACCCCCCACCCCCACAAAAGACAGGAUUAAGCAAUUGACCCAGACUGCCAAUCAUUUUACUCCACUCUCUUAACAGAAGUAAGGGGCUUAUGGUGGUCCAAAAAUGAAACCUUGAUCAAUCCAAUGUUCCAGUCACGCAUUAAAAUAAGUUAUAUUUUAAAAUACAGCACAAAGUAACUGUUCUCCAGGUAUAAUUUCCCUCUCGUCUAUCUUCUUUACAAUGUAGUCAGAUCCCCUGAUAUAGACGCCCAUCCAACCUGACUUGGGGAUUUACUUGCUGCCCUCUAGAUUUAGUUCCUGGGCAAAACUCACCCUAAAUUUCCCCCAUCAUUUGUGCACAGCACUCCGGUCUGCUUGACCGAACUUUCUCAGGCCAAUUACAAGACCAUCCAAUCCCUUCCCAACAUCAACCCUGUCCUAGCCUCCUUCUUCUCCUCCCUGGAUCUCCCAAAAGGUCUUCGCAAGCCCACUGCUCUCACCCACAAUGAGACUGUUCGUACCAUAGAAUACUAAAUGCAGAAUCCACUCAGCACUCUGAGCAUCAUUUAUCUAGGAAAAACAGCAAAGACAGCCUUGAGGCAGAAUCUGUCAUUCAAACUGUAUUAAGGAAAUUCUACCUUUGUGGCCUCCCUGCAAAGAGCACAUGACCAGCCCCCUCCCCACAUGGUAAGCAAAACCCAAAGGCUUUAGGAGACAAGGGUAUUAUGUGUGGAAAAGUAAAAAUUGUUGAAAUUAGUCAUGAAAGAGCCAAACAUCUCCUGUUGUUGAAUGUGAGGCAUGUAU
ensembl:lincRNA